AUUGAACGCUGGCGGCAUGCCUUACACAUGCAAGUCGAACGGCAGCACGGGAGCAAUCCUGGUGGCGAGUGGCGAACGGGUGAGUAAAGUAUCGGAACAUGCCCAGUCGUGGGGGAUAACGUAGCGGAAGUUACGCUAAUACCGCAUACGAUCUAUGGAUGAAAGCGGGGGAUCGCAAGACCUCGCGCGAUUGGAGCGGCCGAUAUCAGAUUAGGUAGUUGGUGGGGUAAAGGCUCACCAAGCCGACGAUCUGUAGCUGGUCUGAGAGGACGACCAGCCACACUGGGACUGAGACACGGCCCAGAUUCCUACGGGAGGCAGCAGUGGGGAAUUUUGGACAAUGGGCGAAAGCCUGAUCCAGCCAUGCCGCGUGCAGGAUGAAGGCCUUCGGGUUGUAAACUGCUUUUGUACGGAACGAAAAGGUUUGGCCUAAUAAGCUGAGCUCAUGACGGUACCGUAAGAAUAAGCACCGGCUAACUACGUGCCAGCAGCCGCAGUAA
rnacentral:rRNA from 1 species